rnacentral:rRNA from 1 species
GAUGAACGCUGGCGGCGUGCCUAAUACAUGCAAGUCGAGCGAACGGACGAGAAGCUUGUGUCUCUGCUGUUAGCGGCGGACGGGUGAGUAACACGUGGAUAACCUACCUAUAAGACUGGGAUAACUUCGGGAAAACGGAGCUAAUACCGGAUAAUAUUUUGAACCGCAUGGUUCAAAAGUGAAAGACGGUCUUGCUGUCACUUAUAGACGGAUCCGCGCUGGAUUAGCUAGUUGGUAAGGUAACGGCCUACCAAGGCAACGAUGCGUAGCCGAGCUGAGAGGAUGAUCAGCUACACUGGAACUGAGACACGGUCCAGACUCCUACGGGAGGCAGCAGUGGGGAAUAUUGGUCAAUGGGCGCAAGCCUGAUCCAGCCAUACCGCGUGGGUGAAGAAGGCCUUCGGGUUGUAAAGCUCUUUUGUUGGGAAAGAAAAGCAGUAUGUGAAUACCCCGAUGUUCUGACGGUACCCAAAGAAUAAGCACCGGCUAACUUCGUG